UCUCAAUAAGCGGAGGAAAAGAAACCAACAGGGAUUGCCUCAGUAACGGCGAGUGAAGCGGCAAAAGCUCAAAUUUGAAAUCUAGCACUUUCAGUGUUCGAGUUGUAAUUUGAAGAAGGUAACUUUGGUUUUGGCUCUUGUCUAUGUUCCUUGGAACAGGACGUCACAGAGGGUGAGAAUCCCGUGCGAUGAGAUGCCCAAUUCCAUGUAAAGUGCUUUCGAAGAGUCGAGUUGUUUGGGAAUGCAGCUCUAAGUGGGUGGUAAAUUCCAUCUAAAGCUAAAUAUUGGCGAGAGACCGAUAGCGAACAAGUACAGUGAUGGAAAGAUGAAAAGAACUUUGAAAAGAGAGUGAAAAAGUACGUGAAAUUGUUGAAAGGGAAGGGCUUGAGAUCAGACUUGGUAUUUUGCGUUCCCUUCCUUUUUGGUUGGGUUCCUCGCAGCU
rnacentral:rRNA from 1 species